rnacentral:rRNA from 1 species
ACGGAGGGUGCAAGCGUUAUCCGGAUUCACUGGGUUUAAAGGGUGCGUAGGCGGGUAGGUAAGUCAGUGGUGAAAUCCUGGAGCUCAACUCCAGAACUGCCAUUGAUACUAUUUAUCUUGAAUAUUGUGGAGGUAAGCGGAAUAUGUCAUGUAGCGGUGAAAUGCUUAGAUAUGACAUAGAACACCUAUUGCGAAGGCAGCUUACUACGCAUAUAUUGACGCUGAGGCACGAAAGCGUGGGGAUCAAACAGGAUUAGAUACCCUGGUAGUCCACGCCCUAAACUAUGGAUACUCGACAUUUGUGAUACACAAUAAGUGUCUGAGCGAAAGCAUUAAGUAUCCCACCUGGGAAGUACGUCCGCAAGGAUG